rnacentral:misc_RNA from 1 species
AAGUCGUAACAAGGUUUCCGUAGGUGAACCUGCGGAAGGAUCAUUAACACGUAUCCAAACGUUAAACCCCCCUGUGAACCUUCAGUCGUACUCGUACGUCCGUUAGAAAAAGCAGCAAUCCCUGGUAAAUCAUCGCCGAACAGUUUUCGAUUCAGGGACGUCUGCAAGGAGCGUGCAUGUUGUGCGUGUAAGUGGCCUGGCAUCCCCAAGCAGUUAGUGUCUGAAAGUGUCACUAACGUUAGUGUCUGAAAGUGUCACUAACAUGUGUAAGGAUGACGCAGUCACGAUCGUUGGAGGCCCACACGGCCGACGACCGGGUCACCGGAUGCAAUCCCCCUGGUGAUCCUGCGGGAAGUCCUGCGGUCGAACGCCGAAACCGAACAACUGUUAACAAUGGAUAUCUUGGUUCUC